CCUUCCACAGCUUGUCUCAAUUUACAAGAUUUGAAGGAACUUUCUCUUCUUUCAGACCCGGGGACAAACACUCCCGGGGUGGUUGCCUGAAGGGUGUUCCAAGGCUUCCUAUUCUCUUUCCACCAAAGUGGAGGCAAGUGCCCAGCAUCAGGCUUCACACCUCCCCGCAGUGCCACUGCGUACGUUGUGUGCGGAACCCUCCGCGUUUCUCGUGGAGUACAAAGAAUUUCCAACCACCCACAAGCCGCGCCCCUUCUUUGUGCCAAAAUCUCGAGCUCCAGUUUUUUUUUUUUUGUUUGUUUUCCGUUCUUUCUUCCUUCUCCGUCUUCUUUUCUUUCCAGAAAUAUCUUCACCGCGCCCACUUAGGCGUCUCAAGUGCCACCGUGGAGUCUGGGCCACCGCGCCCAGGAGCGCGGCUGUUGUCACUUGGAAGGCUUCUAGAGCGCAAACAUUGUGGGGGCCCACCCAGGAGCAGCCUCGUCUGCAAGGCUCCGUCAACGACAACGCCCCGCACGCCAGUUAGACCACCGGGUCCAAGACGAGUUGGGGGGUCCUGAUGUGAGCAGAGUCACGUCUGGAGACAGAUCCUCUGCACAGCCGCCCCGCAACCCCCCGAGCUCCGCCCGGGCUGCGCAACGUCUCCCCCCCACAGUCAUCUCCGCAGCUCGGCCAUCUGCUGUCCUCGCGGCUCAGGGCUUUCGACACCAAGGACACUUGCAGGGAAAUGGCUAACAGACCAGCCGGGAAUGCACCAGCAGCCACAGCGGAAUCCGAACCCUAAAAGCUCAGGCGGAAGCAUGUUUUAAACAGAGUCAAGGAUGAAAAAGUCUCCGGCUGGAGGCUGGAGCUCAGCGGCCGGCAGGAAGAGCCGCAGCGCCCCCUGGAGGCACAGGCUGAGCACUACGGGGCCAAGGCGCAGGGGCCGUCACCCAGGCAGCUGGCUCCCGGGUGUCUCUGGUGGCAAAGGACCAGGCGGGCAGCUGUGACCCCUUCACCGGGCCCCGAGCAAGCCCUUGGCAGCGGAGGUAGAGUCCUGUGCACGACAGGGUUGCUGGGGAGCAAGCCUGCGGUCAGGCAAGUAAAACACAAUAUUCCCACUGCUAGCACCUCUGUGAGGGUCUCAUAAC